rnacentral:rRNA from 1 species
GUGAACGCUGGCGGUAGGCCUAACACAUGCACGUCGCACGGCAGCACAGUAAGAGCUUGCUCUUACGGGUGGCGAGUGGCGGACGGGUGAGGAAUACAUCGGAAUCUACUUUUUCGUGGGGGAUAACGUAGGGAAACUUACGCUAAUACCGCAUACGACCUACGGGUGAAAGCAGGGGAUCUUCGGACCUUGCGCGAUUGAAUGAGCCGAUGUCGGAUUAGCUAGUUGGCGGGGUAAAGGCCCACCAAGGCGACGAUCCGUAGCUGGUCUGAGAGGAUGAUCAGCCACACUGGAACUGAGACACGGUCCAGACUCCUACGGGAGGCAGCAGUGGGGAAUAUUGGACAAUGGGCGCAAGCCUGAUCCAGCCAUACCGCGUGGGUGAAGAAGGCCUUCGGGUUGUAAAGCCCUUUUGUUGGGAAAGAAAAGCAGCAGGUUAAUACCCCGCUGUUCUGACGGUACCCAAAGAAUAAGCACCGGCUAACUUCGUG